UGGGUUGUAGCUCAGUGGUAGAGUGCUUGCCAGCAUGUGUGAGGCACUGGGUUCAAUUCUCAGCAUCACAU
rnacentral:tRNA from 1 species